CAGCUUGGCAAUUCAUCAAAGGAUAGACUGAUCAUAAUUAGACUAGACAGAUCGAGUUCACAUUGCAGGCUGUUGACUGUAAUUUUACUUGGUAGCAUUCUUCCAUAUCAUUCUUAAUGCAAGUUAUCUUAUUCAUCAUGCAGAAAUACAAUUGAUGUAAUUUGUUGAAUGACAUGAAUGAUGUUUUGUGAUUGUAAAACUGUUUUAUUUGAGGCAUGGUGUUCUUUACUGACUUGUUAGUGAAUAUUUGGCAAGUAUUUUUCUGUUCCUAAUGGAAUAACUAAGAUACUGUCAGUUGUCAGUAUCCUAGAUCUGUGCCUUCUUUCUACUUUUGCUACUAAUCAGUUAAGGUAGCCUGAUUUUUCUGUCUUUUCAAACUCACGAACAAUUAGCUUUUGCUUAGUACCUUAAUUUGGAGGAAACUUGAACAUGUGACCAAGCUCAUGUUUGUCUGGUAAAAUGGGAGGAUUUCACAAUCUGCGUCUCUCCUUCCAAUUAGAAUAGUGAAGUGCAGACUCGUGAUCUCUAGUAGCUAUUAAAUUUGACCACGUACCAAGAGUCAUUUCCUAAAAAAAAAAAAAAAAAGCUUCUUAUUAUAUUACACUUCACAAAUUUAAGGUGCAUAACAUUUCUUGUUUAUAGCCCUUACCAAUAUCCAAUAUAUGAUAUCAUUCUCAUGAAUUUCUCUCUGGGACUAAAAAUCUGAUCGAUCUGUCUGUCUGUCUAUCUAUUUGUACAAAGAGCAAUGACUUUUCCUGCAUUGGUGAUAGAAUAUUAUUUUGUGCUAUGGCCAGAGACCAAAGCAACUUGUACUGAAGAAUCUAUUUUACUGUUAUCCAGGAGUCAUAAUUUGUCAAAACUCAACAUAGAAAUAUCAGUUCCAUCUUUGUGUGUGUGUGCGGUUAUUGCACAUCAUUUAAUCUCUUUCCACAACUCUGGAUCGUCUAAUGCCGUAAAUGCCUGCACACGUUUACGGCGAUGUCCAAUAAUGUUCAACCAGCGUACACCAGUGUGGAAUGCGGGCCGGAUGGACGACUUCCGCCCCGGGCGACAUUCCUGGCCAGGGGGACCACCUACUGUGCAGCAUCUCUCGCUAACGCAAACGCACAGGCUUCCACGAUAUGGACUUGCAGGCGUGCCAACCCGCAUCACUGGCUAAAACGAACAUCUGCAGCAUCUGAAAUGGAACCGGAUCUCAAAAGUACCGUAACGUUACCGAGGUUACGAAGCAGUCCAAAGGACAGGUGUCAGGCUUAGAAUAUGGCUUAUGGCUGGAACUUAACUACGGUGAAACGAGAUCUUCUUAAAAUCGAAGUGCUAAACGUACCGUGUCGUCUUUUACCAGCGACGUUACAAAACGUGCCCGUUACGUCACCGCUCCGUUGGCGUUUCUCAUACAGCACGAGGAAAGCUCAUCCAGCAAUGUGUCGGUGCAUUGCUGCUGAAGUCGCGUACUUGCAGUGGGAGCAGGAAACGAAUGUGCUACUUUAUAGCAGACAACGAAUCGGCCAAUUCGAAAUGUGGUCGUCUGGUUAAAUUCCUCAAAGAGAUGGUGUCCUUCCAGCACGCUGAGCGGAGACACGUUAUAGAUUUAGAGAGCCUUUUAGAGCUUAGGGUCCCUUUAAAGAGUGACUGUGGGAGGGCUCAGCAAACUCAACCAGCUCAUCAUUUCAGAAAAUGUCAAUGUACUUUGAGAGUUAAAGACAUCACAAGCCUGAACAGUCCUCAGUGAUGAAAAAGAAUGACUGACUACCAUACUGAGGACAGACCAGAGAGUAUGUCUGACGGCUCUGCGUUGCUCCCGGAAGCAGAGGUGGCGUCUGCCCCAGGCCCUGAAUCUGUGCUUGUUCGCCGGCUCUCCGGCCGAAGCCUCCAGCUGCCCCCGCUAGCCUUCCGGCUGGCGGAACAGAGUGACUUGGAGGUCAGGGAGGUAGAGCAGGUCCCUCGACCCACCACGCUGGCGCUGCGCCUGACCCCCCUGAUCGCCAUCACCUCGCCUGAUGCCAGUAGGUCAGUGCAAUGACGUGUGUCAGGGCCCUGGGACUUUUUGGUUCCUUACACUCAAUGUUUGGAGUUGUAGUUCUGAUGUGGAUGAGGUGCUGGGUUGGUGUAUCUAUGCAAAUGCAAUCAGAGAAGGGAUGUGAACAAAAGUUACAAUUAAUAUCAUAUAAUGGACAUAGAAAACUUUAAAUUAGAAUUAUAAUAUAUAUUAUAAUUAUAAUACAUACAGAAAUGUAUUUUACAUAGUACAUCAGAAUAAUGGUACACUUAGUAUAACAAACAUGAACACUAAUUUAAAUAUUACAAGAUUUUUGUUUUAACCACGGCACAAAAUAUGAACCAUUCAGUUAUACUUGUGAUUUAUGUUGGCAUAUAUGAUGAUGGAUAAUGUAAUUGUACCCACAGAAAAUCUGACGGGCCAAAAUGCUUUCUAGU